rnacentral:sRNA from 1 species
CCCCUUGGGGAGUAGCCUGCUUUCGUCCAUCGAAAGCGCCUGCAUCAACAUGCUCGGCCAUUGCGCCGUGGUGCAGGCAACCAAUUUCGGUUUGGCGAGACCAGCGGCAUGCGUGCACGACGACGGUU